rnacentral:sRNA from 1 species
ACGACCCAUUUCUCGGGGGGUCGUGAAAUCAGUCACGCCGAGUACGGUUGUACGGAGCUUGCCGUCACCGCGGCAGCUAAGCCGACAGCCGUCGCACUCGAGGGAGCCCUUAUAUG